rnacentral:rRNA from 1 species
AAAGAAAAUAACAAUGAUUCCCUCAGUAACGGCGAGCGAAGAGGGAUAAGCUCAAAUUUUAAAUCUGUUGGGUUCCGCUUAACAGAGUUGUAUUUUGAAGAAACGUUUUCUGCAUCCAGGAUUAGCCUAAAUCCUUUGGGAUAAGGUAUCAUGGAGGGUGAGAAUCCCGUUCAUGGUUAAUCUUAAGGAAGCUCUACGAUACGUUUUCCAAGAGUCGAGUUGUUUGGGAUUGCAGCUCAAAAUGGGAGGUAAAUUUCUCCUAAGGCUAAAUAUUGGCGAGAGACCGAUAGCGAACAAGUACCGUGAGGGAAAGAUGAAAAGAACUUUGAAAAGAGAGUUAAACAGUACGUGAAAUUGUUGAAAGGGAAACGAUUGAAG